rnacentral:rRNA from 1 species
UACAGAGGGUGCGAGCGUUAAUCGGAAUUACUGGGCGUAAAGCGUGCGUAGACGGCUAUCUAAGUCGGGUGUGAAAGCCCCCGGGCUCAACCUGGGAAUUGCAUUCGAGACUGAAUAGCUAGGGUACGGUAGAGGGAAGCGGAAUUUCCGGUGUAGCGGUGAAAUGCGUAGAUAUCGGAAGGAACAUCAGUGGCGAAAGCGGCUUCCUGGACCAGUACCGACGUUCAGACACGAAAGCGUGGGGAGCAAACAGG